UCCCUGGUGGCUCAAAGAGCAAAGAAUCUGCCUGAAAUGCAGGAGACCCAGGUUCAGUCCCUGGUUAGGGAU
rnacentral:tRNA from 1 species